rnacentral:lncRNA from 1 species
CCCACGUCAUGCUGCCCUGCUGUGGUUCAAGUAGCCGAAGAGAGCUAUCCUUGUAUAACCUUUUUCUGGUAUCUGAAAUUGUCUGUUUAUACGUUUCUCCUGAUCUCUGUGUUUCUUCGACCUUGGCUAGUUUAGUUGUUUAUCCGUAUCUCUCCGUCACUUGACCUCGCCAUUCUCUCUUGAAUCCUACAAGUCAGUAUUUUUAGGUUCCUCCACCUUCCUGACACCCCGUAUCAAAGUCAAAUUUUCAAAGCAAAUUUAUGCAAUUGUAUUCUAAAAGUUGUGAUUUGUUAGUUCUUUAUAAGCUCAUUCAAUAUCCUCUGGUUGCAGGUUUAUGUAACAGUUUAAGUAAUUACAAAAUGUACUUUCACUGUGUUCUUUUAAAUUGACACAAUUACUCUUGCAUGUUUUUGUAACUCAACAAGUGCUCAACAUACAGCAAGCCUGUGGGAAGGUAUGAGUCCACACUGUGAUGCU